AGUGAAUAGAUACCCUGGUAGUCCACGCCGUAAACGAUGGAUACUAGCUGUUCGGAGCAAAUCUGAGUGGCUAAAGCGAAAGUGAUAAGUAUCCCACCUGGGGAGUACGCACGCAAGUGUGAAACUCAAAGGAAUUGACGGGGGCCCGGCACAAGCGGUGGAGCAUGUGGUUUAAUUCGAUGAUACGCGAGGAACCUUACCAGGGCUUAAAUGUAGAUUGACAGGACUGGAAACAGUUUUUCUUCGGACAAUUUACAAGGUGCUGCAUGGUUGUCGUCAGCUCGUGCCGUGAGGUGUCAGGUUAAGUCCUAUAACGAGCGCAACCCCUGUCGUUAGUUGCCAGCGAGUCAUGUCGGGAACUCUAACGAGACUGCCAGUGUAAACUGUGAGGAAGGUGGGGAUGACGUCAAAUCAUCACGGCCCUUACGUCCUGGGCCACACACGUGCUACAAUGGUAGGUACAGAGAGCAGCCACUGCGCGAGCAGGAGCGAAUCUACAAAA
rnacentral:rRNA from 1 species